GACUGUUCAGUCUUUAAUAAUGUGAGAAUAAACAGAAUAAAUUAAAAGCACACCAUAUUCUUCUCAGCUUCCUCAGGGGCUUUGUCCAAACAGCUUGAACAACUGCAAAAUAAUAUUCAGGAACCAUGAUAGUGUUUGGUACAUAGAGGACACUGGAAAUGGUUUUCUUAACUGAACAAGUGACUAGAAUAAAGGAAUUAAUGAACGACAUCAGAGCUGAAAUCCCAAACCAUAAAUCAUAAAAGGAUCAGACAGCAAAGGACACAUUCGGGAUGCUGAGACAGCCAGUGCUUCUGCUGCAAUCAGGAAACGGCCUGCCAAAUCUGAACGUUACUGCAACACUGGCCAGAUCUUAAGUCUACCACCUCUGCUUUUCUGUG
rnacentral:lncRNA from 1 species